ensembl:lncRNA
CCGGCCGGGAGCUCGAUGCCGCCCUCCGCGGGCUGGUGCGUGCUGAAACCAACGUUGUGCUGGAUGAGGCCGGGGGCUCUGGGUGAGAAGGUGCUUAGGGGGCCGUACGAGUCUGUGGGAGCUCUUUGGGAAGCAAGCCCGGGGGCUGGAGGGGCAGUGAUGCGUGCUAUUGGCUAUGCUCUGCCGGUGCUCAGCUGUCUGCUAGCAGCUCCAGGGCCAGUGCUGAGCUUGGGGUAUUCUGUGGGGUACCACAGGCCUGAAAUGCCAGAUUCCAGUCAGUCCCCUGUAGACAGGGCAGUUGAGCGGUGCUGCUGCUAAAUCUAGAUCUCCAGAAACACUGGUUCUGGGCACCUGUGUUCCUUGUCCUGGGUGUCUUUUCCCUUCUCUCUGGCAGUGCUGAGUGCUGCUCUGCUGUGCCUGCCUGCAAUUGUAGACACGAAGCCCAGUGCAGCUCUGCUAUGGAGCUGUUCGGUCCAAUCUCUCCUAGCUGUGCCUGUGGGGCUCCCCAGGGCUGUGGGGAAUAGCAACAGCCUCAAAAGGACCAACUCCUGCUUUGCCCAGAGGUAAUGUUUCCUUCCUUGAUGAACUUGGCUCACCUGAAUAACGUGCAGCAGUAACUGUACUCCAUCCCUGGUCUUCAUUAAUGAGAGAUCUGAAACCAGUUAUUUUGUAAGUGAUGAUUUUAUUAUUAAACUUACUAAAUUGUAAUGCAGGCAUAUCUUGGAGUGGAGAACUAUACAGUAUGUUACAUGUUAUAAAUAUAGUUUUGAAAAUACACGAAUAUAUUUCAUAUAAUGCUGUAAUAAAAAGAGUGCUAGUUCAUCUUUAUUUUAAAAACCGUAACACCUAUAAUGUGAGGAGAGUAGGGGAUGGGGAAAACACCAUUUCAUGACUCUCUUGAAACCCUGCAAGUCCAGUUCUGCACUGAUUCACAUUCCUUAGUGUCUGUACAGGUGGAGAGUGUAAGUUGGGGCAGGAUUUUUAGCCCCUGGGAGUUAUGGAGAUAUACAGACUAUUCACAGAAUAAUCAAGUCAUAAAUAUCUCUAGCUUUGGAUAAAGCUAGCAAGAUAUACAGUGAAUAACCAUGUCUCACAACAGCAGCUAUAAUUAAUGACAACUGAAAUAUUAAACACAGCACCUAGUUCAGGGUACUAACCGUGAGUCAGCACAAAUGGUUUUUUUUUUUUUUUUAGAUGCUAAAUAACAGCAGCUACACUGACCUUCGCCUGCAAAUUAUACUUGCACUGAGUAAACAUGAUCUGUUGUUCUAGUGAGCAACAACUCGUUGCUUUGUGUUGCUGCUAGAACUGGGCUCAGAGAAUCUCAGAAGAGAUCCUGCUCUGCCUUGGAGGGCUCCAGCUGCUGUGGGUGAGCGAAGGGGCUGCACCUGCUGCUGAAGGGCUGCACCUGCUGAAGUUAGCAAGUUACUGUCAUCUUCUGAAAUAUCAGUUCCCAGGGAUGGACCAGAAGGGGUUUUAAAUAGCCUGUGCCUGAUUGACAGUUAUAUUGCAAUUCAGGGGAGUAGCAUGCCCCUAUAACAAGAGGCAAGUUGGUUUGCUUGAAUCUUUACACCAUAGGCAUAAAUUCUUUUGCUGGUAGGAGCUGGUGCACAGAUCACUGCAGCAGCUACAGCACCUUCAGAAGCAGAUGCUGUCAGUUCUGAGCUCUGUGGAAACAUGGCAGUAAGGCACCCACCAAGCAUGGCUAUAGCAUUAAAAACAAACAACAAAAAGCUUAUGAGGACUAAAAGAAUAGUCCUAGGGGGAAAGAUGCAGAAUAUAGAAGGUGUAUGUGAGUAACUCAUCCUUGCAGCCUUGUUCUUCUGGAAGACAGGUAGCACAGCCUGGCGGAGAGCUGGGCUGCAUGGUGACUGAGAUGCUGCCGUGGAUGUACCCUCCCAACUCUCUAACAGCCAAUUCUUGCAGUGCCAUUCAUCAUGUUGACUUCUGCAUUAGGAUGGCACUGAAGUCAAGGAGUGUUUGCAGAAGGUGCAGCUGAUGGUGGGUUUGUGGAUGGCCCUGGGGGAGAGCUUGGCCUUACAGACUCUUGUUCCUGUUGCAUUUGAGCAAAACUGCAUAGCUGGAGAGGUGCUGCUGGCAAGGGAGGAGUGUGCUGGGGGGCAAGCAGCCUGCAGGUCAGCACCCAGCCCUGAGGGAGGUGGCUGCACUCCCAAUGGCCAUCUCUGCACCCGGCAAUAGGUAUGGUGCUCCUCUGGACACUGUGAGGCUGAAGUUCAUUUCAGCUGUAGGAGGUCCCCAGGAAGCAAUGAUAAUUUAAAAGCUUUGGUGGUUCAGGUAGUACUGUUCCUAGCACAGAUAGGAGGAAGAAUUAAUUACCAAGUCUCAUUUAAAAGCCUCUCCUGGUUAUGGCACCAAGAUGCUGGCUGCAAGUUUCUCUGUGGCUUUUGAGUAUGUGGCAGGUUCAGGAGCAAAGCCAUAGGUAGCUGAGCAUGCAUCUUUCCAUGGACCUUUAUCCACCUCCCCAUUCCUUCUUUCCCUUCCAACGUUCAAAUCAGCGUUGCUCUGCCAGCAGCCGGAGGAUGCUGGGUGCACAGAGCUGCACAAAGCACCCCUGGGCUCUUCCAUUUUGUGUCCAUCACUGAUCCCACUUCUCCUUCCUGAAACAAAAACACGUGGUGGAUGUGAGGGACUGGAAAGGGAUGUUCUGUAUUUACCCACUGGGCUGAGUCUGUUUCUCUUUUAGUUCUUAUCACGGGCAGAUUUUUUCCCAAUAUAUGUUUGGUUUGCUAUUUGGGAGUAUUUGACUAACUGCAGAUAACUGGACUUGCUGCUGCAUUUCUUUGUGCAUUGAAAGUAACACAGAAUGCCUGUGUGAUGCAGGCCAUGUGGCUAUAAUUGCCUUAAAUUAACUGUUCAUCUCUUUUGGUUUUGGUAAGAGGAGGGGGCAGAGUGUGUCUAUUAACUCGAAGGUAUACGGGCCAGUCUUCAGCUGGCAUAAAUCCACAUAAUUUGAGCUUCAUGAAUCUGCUGUGUACCUGCUGGAACAUGUCUGGAUGAGGGAACAGAACUGCAUAAUUUCUAUGCUAAGUGGAGAAAAGAAAACCAAUGCAAGAUGUGCAGUUUUACUUACUUUACCUUGUCCCCUUUAACUUGGCUUAUCAGAAAGGCCAUAUGUUUUCAUUCUUUGUAUUUUGCCCCAGAACAAUCAUGGAGUUCCUCUCAGUUCUCUCAGCUUUCCUCAGCUCCGAAGAUGUAUUAUCUGGCCUUAAUAAAAAGAGAAAUACGAUUGAAGUUUACAGCAGUCAGCACACAUGAUGGUGUUUUUAGCACUAAUAUGCUGUGUAUGCGUACCCAUCAUCCAAACAGCACCCAGCACUGCUUCCCCUUGCCAGCCUGGAAUUCCAGGGCAGAUGCUGGCCUAAUACUUGUGGCAGCAUCCAAAAGAGACCCAAAACACUACAAAAUGCAUCACUCAGCGUGAUGUUGCAAAGGGGGAGGGAGAGAUUGGUGGGUCACUGUCACAGGGGUUAAACACUUUUGGCCUCCAGUAGGAAGCGAGGAAUGGGAAAGAACAGGACUAAGCUUGCUGCUUAGGCUGCCUCCAGCAUUGUUGUUGUCUUUCCUUAUUUAUUGCUUCCCACUGCAGUAAGUGCAGUGCAUCCUGUUUGGUUGUAAUGGCUCACGUCUCCAGGACUUGGGGAGGAGAAAUGUUUUGGAACGCUUUGUAAGAACAGUUGCUGUUUGAGAAGGAGAAGCUGUGCAUUGUGUGUUGUGGGUUUUUUUUUAAUGCAACAUUUCAAAGCAAUUCAAAUGUAUAACAAAUGGCUCAUUGCUAUCUUUGAUUUGAAAAACUUCGCAUCAAAGCACGACUGAUGUGAUGCUGACUUCUAUUUUCUAGGUACUGAUUUUUUUUUUCUUUCUAAAUGUUGUAGGAUUUCUGUUUCAUUAAUUCUUAAGUCUUUUGCAGUGAAAUGGCUCAAUUUAUGCCUUGAUGCUUUAGUUCUUUGGCUGCCUCUGCUCCCCUGGGAGUAACUUUCCCUGUGAAGAGUGCUGCUCAGGACUGGGCCUACAAGCUUUGGGAGAUGGGAUUUCAGCCUUUGUAUGAGGCUGCUCUGCUCAGGGGUUUUGGCAUAUUGGUGUUGUAGUGUACUUCCUAGCUUACUUCACCCUAACCGCCAAGUAGCUGUCAUACAGAUGUAAGCUUUCGGUGGCCGUCAGAUCGAAACUAACGUCCUUGCCCAUGAAAGAUAUCAUAACUUGAGGUUAGCUCAAGCCCACGCAGGUACCUUAGAGCUGCAACUCCUGUAGAUAAAUGGGUGGAUGUGUCUGAACAGGAGUGCCAGGCUGGGACUAUCUGAAGUUUCCCACAUUAGAGCCUGCCCUAGGAAGGGACUGCAGAUAGCAUCAGUAAAGCUCCUGAGCUCAGUAGCUUUCAUGAAGAUGGCUGGGACUGCUUCUCAGCUGCAGUCAGGGCAAGCAGUGGGGGACUAAAAGUCUCCCGCAUACAAAAACGGUGCUGGGGAAAAUAAGGGAAAAAUAUCUCAGAGGCACUUAAGGGCUCCUGCUUGUUCCUGGGUUUCUGGGAGCUGGUAGUAAUGCCAAUCUAGCCGGAGGCAAUUCUACGUGUACUUUAUAAUUUCAGAUGGAGUGGCAGUAAAUUUUUCAAGGUGGGCUCCUGCUGAACUUACAGCCCAGCUGGAUUCUCCCCAGUCGUGUCAGUCUGCAAUUAUUUAUGCAGGGCAAAUAUUUGACCUUCUGAUGCCAGACUGUCACUUGAGAACAGUCUUUUGUCACUGAAACCAGUCACAGUGCAAAGACAGAGAGUUCUUUUCUUAGGGGUCAUUUGAGCUGCAAGUAAGUUCAUCGCUCUUUGCAGAGGGUACAUUCUGCAAGGAUCGGAGAGAGAAAUCUACUUUUCUGCUAUGUGUCAGGCUCAGGUCCGUGUGCUGUUACAUUCAUAACUCCAUGACCAGGUUAUCCAUCAGCCUCUUCUGGCCCUCUGAGCAAAACAGACUUUGCAGGAGUGAAAGUGCUACUAGGAAAUGGAAGACGCAAUGAAAACCUGUGCCUGGUUGGAACAACAUAUGACAAACCACUGAGUCUUGUGCCAGUGUUUUUACCUUGGCAGGCUCAGCAUCUCCUGCUGGAAGAACCAAGUUCUCUCAGUACUAUGAGAAUUCUUUUGUGGACUUUUUAAAUGAGGGGGAAAAAAAAAACAGACAAAAGAAAAACAAAGCCACCGCCCUGAAGCAGAUCAUUCAUCAUAAACAGUGGGAGCAUGAAAGGCAAUUUGCUUUGACCUAGUUACAAAAACAAAAACAAACAGACUUUCUCUAAUUGCCUGAAUGACUCAAGUGGGCCUGGGUGUCAAAAGCAACAAAUCUGUGCCUUCUUCAGAGCUAUAUGUUAACGUGGGACACCGGGCUCCAGCUUGCUCCAGUUCAAGACCUUGGGAGAUGUCUUUGUGCCCAAGGAAGCCUGGGUAAGCAAAAGCCAGCCAAUUCUGUGUGCCUGUAUGCACAAACAGGAUCAGGUGCCAGGACAAACAUGUUUCAUAAACUGUAACAAAGACAGUGGCUUUAAAUGCCAGUGUUUACGUUGCCAAGAGCUGCAGGCAAGUGAGAUUUUUUGCUUGUCAUUAUGGUACUGCUGCAGGCAGGGCCUGGCUUUCUGUCCAGCAGCGUUUGCAGAGCUGCCGCUGACUUACUGAGGCUCAGAGUUUUAUUUUAAAUGAGCCUGAGAGUAGCUAGGUACCUAAAAUGCCCUAAGAGCAAUGUGCCCAGCUUUCUAAGCACCAGCAAAAAGCCCAACAUCAAUGCAUUGCUAUUGCAGGAUGUGUGCUAGAGAGGGUGAGAGCCAUUACAGAUAGGACAGGUGAACAGAGCUGGAAAGCAAGCAAAGAGUGAGUGGAGAGACUUCAGGGACAUGGGUAUGGGCGAGGGGUCUAUGCCCGUAUAUUAGAGAAAGCCAUUUAUUUACCAGCUACGGGAAGCAGCCUGGGAAAAUCAGCAUGCCACAUCUCUGGGGCUGCCCAGUUUCAGUCAGGUAAAAGUCAUCCCUUUGGUAUCUCAUUCUGCGGCCUUUCUAUGUGUUUUAGUUGUCCUAUGUACAUGCAAGAGUAGCUCUGUUAGGAGCUGUUGGGAUGGCCUUUCAGUGGAAGAAAAUGAAUUUACUUAGCCUGUGAUUCUCACCCAGGGAGUGCUGGCAGCAUCCUCAGUGCUGCAGAGAAAAGGCUGUGGGGGGUGGCAAAGACAGCACUUUUCUGAAGCCCACAUGGAGUCUCUUUUUUUUUUUUUCAGUUUUAGAGGGCAAGUUCACAAGAGUUUAUAUGUUUUCCCCAGCUGGUUCACUAUCUAUUUUAGAUGGAACUGUUUGAUCUCUUUCUGCUUGUGGUCCUUUCAGUGUCACAAACAAUAGGAGGAAGCUUGCCUGUUACUGUGUGUUUGGGCCCCAGCUAAGCUUUUCCCAGCUGGAAAAAUCAGUCCGUGAACUACAGAGAGUUUUCUCCAGCUGUAAUUACAAGAUUUCCAGUUCCCUUAUGCAUCUUGUAAGGUAGGUACAGGCUAUCAGGGGGAACAAUGGGACGUUCCUGAGUGGUUAAACAACUGCUGUUUCCCUACUGUCGCCCCUCUGAAAACCCAAGGAGGGUUUAAGCACAUCCGAGCUGUUCCCCUCGAGGUUACCAAGACCUCAGCUGAAAAAACACAGGGAGGUGCCCAGCUCCACGUAAUGCUCCUGCUUUGCUGAGAUACCCAGACUCUUCCUGUUACCCGCUUAUAGACACAAACACCACAAAUCCACCAGACCAGCUGGGAGGACUUGGCAGGCAUGCAGAGAGGAUCUGUGCAGUGGGUGCUGUUACCACCUUGGAUAGAGUGCUGCACACCACAGCUCAGACAGCAGGCUGUAGCCUGCCUGGCAAACUCACCUGAGGGACCAGCACAGAUCUCUUAGUAGAUGUAGUAGUUUGUCAGUGGAGUGGCCCUUGCUAGUGAUGACUGGGUGGGCACCUCCUUAGGGACCCUAAUGUUUUUGUUAUUCUCACAUAGGUAACAUUGUCCAUCUGGGAUCUUAGAGCACCUGGGUAAAGGACUGUGCUGGCCAGGAUGCUCUUAUACAAGAAAGAAGGUAAGGAGGGUCCUUGCUCAGAAAAGUGUUCUCUAGUCACCACCAGCUCCCCCAGCACUAAGUGAAACCCUCCUGCAGCUCCGCCUUACCUGUACAACUGUGGGCAGGACCUCUUCAGAGCAGCAGAGGACAGCCCCAGCCUGCUUUGGUUUCUCAGCCUUGUCUUCUUCACAAGAUCUCUCAUUCUCCCCCAAGCAUGGCUCUCAGCCUAAGGAGCAAAAAGAAGCUGUAACUGGGACCAGAGGUUGAUUGCUGGCUGGCAGACCUCAUCUGGCCACCGCACAAUACUUCGGGGUACUCUAGAUUGGUGGGAAGAGGGGAGCUUCCCACUCAGAAUACAUCCCUUUAUCUUGGGAUGUAUUCCUAGCAGAACUGAUAUAGGGCUGUGACUGCCACAGCUGUGCUGCUCACCAGUGCAUACAGUGCUAACUGUUUUGAGCUGCUUUAUUUUGGACCGAUAGGAAGAGCCUUUAGUUCAACCUAGCACUUCUCUGGUGAGUGCUGAGUAGCUGCCUAAAGGCACGUUGCACCUCAUUGUUUCACUGUGCUAAAGGAAAAGAGAAGUGGUUUGGUUUUCUACCCACUUACCUGCACCCAUUGUGGGGGAUUUGGGGGGGGGGGGGGGAUCUUUACAUAGCAAACAACCCAAAAAAGUAGCUUGACUCUCUCUGCCUUUUUAUUAGGCCAGGUGCAUUGGUAUCAGCCCUUUUCAAGGUGUCAACUUUUUGUGGCCCAUGAAUUAGAGGGCACCAAGCCUUUGUCUCCCUGUCACGUCCACAGGCUGCAGCUGUUGGGCGCUUCCAUUUGAAAUGCUAAUAGUGAUCAGGUCAGGGAGCCUCCUGAGGCCCUCCCUAAUGUUUGCUGUCUUAGGAUGAGCUCAUUUAGACUUAUUAACACAGAAGAAACAGGUAUUAAAAAUGUUCACUUUUUUUUUUCUACGUUGUUUUAAAUUUCCUAAAGUAAUGGCUGGAAAACCUUGGGAGCAGAGGGAAAAAGAUCAUGUCCAGGGGUAGAAAUGUUGCUGACACCCAUUUUGAUGAAGUUCUUAGAAUCACUGUCACAUUCUGAGCCUUGUCCUGUGCUGCCAUCCUACCGUGCCACCAGUGGAGCACAUGCUCCAGCACAGCUCCGUGAGCCAGGGCCACCUUGGCAGCAUGACCUGGCAGCUGCCAAAGUAGAACCUAUUGCAGUAAUUCUUGAAGCUCAGUUAAAUUUCCACUUCAAAACUUUGGAUGAGGUCAUGGGCUCAGCUGAAAACUGCAGUGUUUUCUGUGCUAUUGAAUUAAUUGCCUGUAAGUGAGACUGUUUACUCAUGGAAAUAUCAAACCUUUGUGUUUCUUGCUAGGAUUAAUGUGUGCUGCUGCUGUUCUGAAGGCCUCAGCAGCUCUGCACUGUGGGAAGGCAGUCCCUGGCCGUGCCGGAGGUGUCCCAGAAGGGCCAGCACUGUUAAUGCCACAAAGGCUGAGCAGUUGCCUGUUCCUGAAAGCUAGCUAGCCAUUGCCUAUUGUGGGAGUGGGAGAACAAUGGAACAAAUGCAGUAAGUCAUAAAAAUAGCAUAUGCGGUCUGUUACUUUGGCAGAAAACUUUGGGGGUCAGUGAACCACUUUUCCUAUGUAAAAUGCUGUGCGCUUUGGGAGCUCAGUCCAUGGCAGUGCGGAUACGAGCAAAAUAUAUUCCACAAAGGCAGUACUUACCAAGCAGUUCUUGCUGGUGUCCAGACCCUAAAAGCAAAGAAAAAUAGACUUAUAAUUACUGUGACAGUGAGACCGUCUCACGGCAGAGCUGGAAACAAACUGGACACUGUUCUCAGCUCUGCCCUGGACUUUACCCAUAGCCUUGUCAAAGCCCUUUAUCUCUUUGUGGUUCUGCCUUUUACAUAUGGAUGAUAAUCCCUUCUUACUUUUUGCCUCUCUUUUUUAUUCAGACUGCCAGUUUGCAUACCUAUUGCAUCUGGAAUGGUGUGGCAGGAUUCCUAUACAGCUCCUGCAGCUGUAGAAGGUAGAGGAGCAUUACAUGUCCAGAGUACCAAAUACAGGAGUGACUAUACCAAGGUGUGGUGUAGUGAGCCUGUGCUAGGAUUCAGCUUAAGAAGUGUGGAUCUCAGUUCCGCUGUGCUGUAAAGAUCCUUUGGUGGAAAAGCCUGUCUUUCAGCCACGCCACCACCUUCUCUGAACUCAUUCUCCUUGUUCCUAUUGUUCGACGACUUCCUGAGUGCUGCCAUUGGAUGGCUGUUUCCUGAUUCUGGGUAUCUCUCACUUCCUGCAAUGAAAUGCAAGGACUUAUAUUUCUGCUCACACUUCUCAGCAAUGUCCUGCUAGGAAGGCCUGUGGACAGUGCUGCCAGCAACAGGGUGAGUCCUUUUAGGGCUUAAUGACUGACCAAAACCUUUUUGUCUUCGUGCCAUAACUUGGUGCAAGGAAGGUAAAUGAUCCAAGCUAGGGUCUAAUGAGGGCAAACUUUCUGUUGGUGUCCUCGUGCUCUUAUUUUCCUUUCAACCCUUCUGUGAAACUGCCAAUAAAGAGAGUUUCUGAGUUUUGGCACUAGAGGGCCCAAAGGCCAUUUACACAGUGACCCAGUUCUGCUAGAAGCUGUGUUGAAGUUCUGUGUUUCAUAGGGUAUAACAGGCAAACUGAACUUGAAGGUUUGAAAUAAACUAAUUAGGCUCAUUUAGUGUGGUGGUUCACAUAUAACGUUUUAUCUAGGCUUUGCAGCUGGCUUUACAUGAGUAGACUGAGCCCAGUAAUUCUCAGCCUUCUGGAAAAGUUGGUCUCUGGACCAAGCUUUGCAGCUGGGGCUUAUUUCCUCUUGGUCUCCUGAGUAUGUCAUCCUCCAGGAAUGUGUUCUGUGCCUGCGUGAGAGGGCAGGAGACUAAUAGCAGGC